rnacentral:rRNA from 1 species
GGGAAACUGCCCGAUGGAGGGGGAUAACUACUGGAAACGGUAGCUAAUACCGCAUAACGUCGCAAGACCAAAGUGGGGGACCUUCGGGCCUCACACCAUCGGAUGUGCCCAGAUGGGAUUAGCUAGUAGGUGGGGUAAUGGCUCACCUAGGCGACGAUCCCUAGCUGGUCUGAGAGGAUGACCAGCCACACUGGAACUGAGACACGGUCCAGACUCCUACGGGAGGCAGCAGUGGGGAAUAUUGCACAAUGGGCGCAAGCCUGAUGCAGCCAUGCCGCGUGUAUGAAGAAGGCCUUCGGGUUGUAAAGUACUUUCAGCGGGGAGGAAGGCGGUGGAGUUAAUAGCUUCACCGAUUGACGUUACCCGCAGAAGAAGCACCGGCUAACUCCGUGCCAGCAGCCGCGGUAAUACGGAGGGUGCAAGCGUUAAUCGGAAUUACUGGGCGUAAAGCGCACGCAGGCGGUCUGUCAAGUCGGAUGCGAAAUCCCCGGGCUUAACCUGGGAACUGCAUUCGAAACUGGCAGGCUAGAGUCUUGUAGAGGGGGGUAGAAUUCCAGGU